CAUUAUAAGUACAAUCCAACAAACCCGCAUACGGGCGCGAACCUAAUUUGCAAAAAAAGAGAAGCUUGUGAAUUAAUGAGCACCGAAUCCAGAUAUUUGAGAAUAACAAAUGAACUUGACCGUCAAAAUGAAAACAAUUCUACACACCAACAACUCACUUUAUCAAAAAACAACAACAAUGAUUAUCAACAAUCAUUUCUAGCCAAUAGUUUAUGACAAUCAAUCAUAAUAGAUCUAGAUUAUGAGCAACUUUGAGAUCUAGAUUCAAGGGACCAGUCAAAUGCACAAAUAAAUCUGAAUCAAAGCACGAACUAAAGAAGAAGAUCUUAUGGUAUACAACCCACCCAUUCUUGCCCAACGAGCCGAAACAGAACCAAACAUCACUUGUCGAAAACAUGAACGGGUUAACAAAGAGAUCAUCGACGAAAUGCUAACAACUCGCCAACCUUAGUGGAGGUUAAGGGUGAAGCGGUCAGAUCGGCGUCGCACAACCAAAACCAGAAGCUACAUGGGUGGCCGGUAGUUUGGAUUUGGGGAGAAG
rnacentral:lncRNA from 1 species